rnacentral:rRNA from 1 species
UACGGGGGGGGCAAGCGUUGUUCGGAAUUACUGGGCGUAAAGGGCUCGUAGGCGGCCAACUAAGUCAGACGUGAAAUCCCUCGGCUUAACCGGGGAACUGCAUCUGAUACUGGAUGGCUUGAGUUCAGGAGAGGGAUGCGGAAUUCCAGGUGUAGCGGUGAAAUGCGUAGAUAUCUGGAGGAACACCGGUGGCGAAGGCGGCAUCCUGGACCGACACUGACGCUGAGGAGCGAAAAAGCCAGGGGGAGCAAACGGGG